rnacentral:lncRNA from 10 species
ACACACAAGGUCUUCAGAUGAUAGGAACAGCUCAUGCUGAAUUUCAUGAACUGAUUAAUUACAACCGCAUCAUACGCCAUAUGUAUUCAAAAAUACGAUUUUUUUUAACAGAUUGGAUUCUAAUUGUUUUACCCUGGAAUUUACCACCACCCAGUUAUAGAAUUCAGAUUACCAUACCAGACACAUCAUCCCAGGGAAUCUAAAGUGUCAUUUCCUCUCUGGAAGAAAGGAAGCACAAAACAUGCUAGGACAAAAUUGGAGAAACUGAUUAUUUUACCCAGGCUUUGACUGGAAUGGCAUGAUUCCUUUAAAAAAUUCAAGCUUGACUUAUACAGCCAAUUAAGCCCUGUUGGGGAAUCUGGUCUCAUACCUUGUCCACACAGAGUCCUUGUACAAGUUUCCCGACCUGUGAAAGAAGAAAGAGCUUUAACAGACAUUUGAUAAUGAAUUGUUACUUCUUACUCAUGUUUAUAUAUAAACUCUUGACUGUCAAUGCUAUAAAAGACAAUUCAAAAGGAAGAAAUGCAGUUAUAUUGAAACACCAUUCAAAACAUCACAACAAGAAAUGCAGUCUACUAUAAACUGAAGUCCUGGAAGCCGUCUCCCACAGAUACCAAGAGACCACUGUAUAUCCAGAAGUGUGACUACUGUGUAAUAUGAAGUUAUAACUUUAAUUUCUUCAGGAACCACCAUACUGCUUUCCACAGCAGGUUUAAACAGUAUCCAUUCAGAACAAUGACAAGAAAGCUUUAAGCUUAUACAAUACAAGAUGCUUCUUGCCCUUCUAGGAAGAAUCCUUUACUGAAAUGGAAGCAACAAAUGACAGUUCCUGUUGUUCCAGUUUCUUGCCAGCACUGGUGUUGAUGCUUUGGGUUUUAACCAUUCUAAUAGAUGUGACCCAUGCAGACAGUUCUCUGCUUUUGCCAUGAGGCCGCAACUGAGCUGUUGGAGAAUGAGACAUGAGAAACCAAGCUGCGUCAUUGCAGUUGUCCCAUCUGUGGCCCUCACAGAACAGGUUUUCAUGUAGUUACUGAUAUCAACCCCAUGAUAAAGAUAAAAACCAAGGCAAUACCUGAAUAACCAGAAUGUCACAAUGGAACCUUGUGCCAGUGUGAAGAAUCUCAGGAAACUUGGUUGGAUCUGAAUUUGACAAGGUGACUCUACAGAUUUGGGGGAAAAUUCAUGAAUCCACAUUACAUCUACAACCUUCUAAAUGUGUAAAUACCUCAUACUGCAAGUAUCUCUUAAAGUCUAUGCCUUUUUAUACCAACCAAAAUGUAGAUUAAGCAAGUUUUUUACUUAGUCUCUGCCAUUUUGGUAUUUUUUUAGAUGGUUCUUAAAGAAUAACUGUGUUAUAAAAUAGUAAGUAAUGCAUUAUUUUAUAGCUUAAAAACACGAAAUUCCUCUUAGAUAAUUUCUAAACACUUAACACAUAAAUUAUCAUGUAAUAUUUAUAAUGAAAUUACUUUGGUUAAAAUAGGUAAGUAGUGAAUAUCCUUCUUAUUCAAAUAGUAUGAGAUCUAUAGAGUUACAGAAUAAAAUUUUACAGUAUUUGGAAGGGAAACACAGGAACUUGAAGAUAACAUUGACUUAUAACUUGUUUUGGAAAUUACUUACCUUUUUGAAAUUAUGCAUAUGCAUCAUCAUCUAUAAUUCUUUGCAACAUGCCCACACUCACUGAAACAACUGCAAGUUUCAUUAAAAAAAUGACAUUUCCAUACACAUGCAAUUGUGAAAGUUGUAACAUGAUGCAUUUUUUUCAGAUGACACUAAAAUUAACAUAAAUUUGUCAGGUUAAAGAUUAUUUAAAUGUAGAAAAUGCUACAUAAUAUAGAAUACUUGGGUAAAAGGUGAAUAAAAAUUAUAAAUUUUUAGCAGAUCCUUGCAACAGUAUGUUGGAAACAAAUAAAUUAUUUGCUUAACUAUUUAAAUUCUACUUCAUGAGACAAGACAAUAAAAAUAACUGUCCCAGUUAUUUAGUUUAAUCUUGAUAGUAAGGAAACUUUGUGGGAAAAUGACUUUAUUUCUUACUAGACUAGUUGGGAGUUUAGUAUUAACAAUCUAGGUUUACACAUUUUAAGGGAAAGUAAAUUCAUACAUAUCGAUAUUGCAUUCAUAAGGCCAACUUGCUUAAGACAAAGUUAUAGCAAAAGAACAUAGGAACACCGUGGUUGUAUGAAAACUAUGGCUAAGGUAUAUAAUGUGUAGUCUUGCACUAAUCGUACAACAUAGGCAUGCAUGCACAUUAUAUACCAAGAAAUUCUGUCACUCUAACAAAGGGUAAAUUUAAAGCUGGGUCCUAGAUCUUUAGGUGCUCAGAAAUCAUUAUGAAUUAAGUGCAUUAAAAGACAUUAUCUCUUUGAUCUCUGUUUGUCUCCACUCAGCAAUAUUUGUCAUAUUUGAUGAAUUGCUGCAGUAUAUUAUGGCAAGAAGCAUAGAAUAAUUAUAGUGAUGCUAGUGUUUAGUCCAUCUUAAUGACAUUGCCUAUUUGCCUCAUGGAGGGUUGGUCUGGCUGUCCUUCCUCAGAUGGUUUUGGGUACCUUUAAGUGAAAUGUCUAGUUGGCUACACAGCAGACAUUUAAGGAAAAUUAAAGUGAAAGUUUUGAAAGAGGUAAAUAAAAAGCAACAAUUAUCUUGAAACAUUUUAACCUUUUUUAGAGAAUAAGGGGUAGGGCUAUUCACAUAUAUCCCCUAAACAUUUUACAGUAAUGAUGGCAUGUAAAAAGUAUGAAAUAGAACUAAUAAUGCUGUUUAUAAUUUUACAUAUUUCUCUCAUUUCUUCCAUGUCAUUACACUUUAUGUAAAGCAUCUUAGACAAAAAUAAUCCUCCACAUGACUAUCUUUACACUUAUACUCAACUUAUAUCAUAGAAAGACUUUCUACAUUUCAAAAAACUAUACCACAUUUCCCUCCUUUGCCUGGGGUCUAUAUCAUUAUUGGAACACAUAAGUAGUUUGUAUUGGUUUAGGGGUCUCUUUUUUCUAAACUAUUGGUUUGCUCAUGUCCCCUAUUAAAAUAGAAGGUGUUGCUGGCAAAAUUGCAGUUCAGCUUCACCUCUGGGUCUACUUGGCAGAUGAAAGCAUUGUUUUUGGCAAUUUGUAUACAAAUAGUGUAAUAGAGUGUAAUUAUGGGACUUCAUCUGAAGCACUGAUGGUCUCUCUGUGAUUUCAGCCACUAUAAUAAUGAAUAAGCUUCAUUCUUCUAAGCUUUAAACACACCCAUCACAGUGGGAGCUUGUGGCAUCUGUGUGUGUGUAUGUGCAUUUGCACCUGGACAUGAGCAUAAGCCCAUGCAUUUAGCUGAAUUUCUCAAGUUUUGAAGAACAGUUGAACACAGUUUAGGACUUCCACUCUACUGACUUUUUAAGCAGGGUCCUGUAGGAUAAAAGAAUGUAACUGUGGUGCUGAAGUAACCCAAGUUAAUAAAAGACUAAAAAAAGAAAUUGGGAUUGGAAAAUAUAUUUCUGUUCAAUCAAAAUGUGUUUAUAGUUUCUGCUCCAUCUCUCUCAAAAGAGAAUGGAAAUGUGGAAUUACAGGACACACUCUGUACGAGGAAUACAGGAAUUCUUCUAAAGUUUUUGUUUUUUUUGGCUUUUGUUUAUUUUGUUGGGCUUUUUCCUUCCUUCUUUCCUUCCUUCCUUCCUUUCUUCCUUCCUUCCUUCCUUUCUUCCUUCCUUCCUUCUUCCUUCCUUUCUCUUCCUUCCUUUCUCUUCCUUCCUUUCUUCCCUCCUCAUUCUGUUUCAUUUUUGUUUUAGCAUCAGGACUCUGAAGUUAGAAGUGAAAAACCUACUGGAGAGACCAUCGAAUCUGCACCACAGUCUAUAACAUUAACAUACUUUGAGCUGGGUCUGUGACAAAUCAGCAUUAUCCACAUUUCAAAGUCAAACUUAAUAUCCCAUUCCAGACCAGAUCUUAGUGGUCCAGAGCAUAAUUGAAUUAGUUGCAGAGAUUGUGGUCCCAACAUGUAAUUUCAAGUGUCUCUCUGUGAAAAUCACCCAGAGGCUAUGAUUUUAGCUACUUCCAGGACUCUUUGAGGACAGUAAUGUUGCCAGUGUCUAGUGAUCCUAUAGUUAUGUUUAUCUAAUUUCUGAUUUGCCUCCUCUAUGAAUGAGUGAAAAGGAUUUUACCAUACAUCAGCACUGAAGCAUGACACCAAUAAUCUCACAGAUGUGCCAAUCUAUCCUUGCCGACUUUACUAGCAAGUCUUAUUUAAAAAUAUUUUUCCUCUGACUAUUUUGACCCACUCACAACUGGAAAAUAUUUAUCUUUAUAUAUUUUUAAUCCCACUUUAAUUAUAUAAUUUUAAUAUAUAAUAUAGAAAUAAAAUUUAUACAAUUUUAAUCUCACUUGCCAAGUUCUGAUUUCAAAGUUUCCA